CUGGAUUUGGGCAACUGCAGCUUGUGUCUUGCAGCCCCCCCUUGUGCAUCAGCCCCCACCACGUCCACCCAGACCUCAUCCCAGCUCGGGAGGCGAGUCCCCCGGCCUGACCACGCUGCAGAAGCAGGCACUUGGUGCGUUCCCAGCUGGCUCUCAGCGGAGGUGAUUUGUUUGAAAUAAUUUCCAUGGCCUCUGCACUUAUUUUUGCCGCUGGCAUAGGGAGAGCAGGUUAAAUCUGUGCUGCUAGACAGCAUCAGGGAUUGCGGGCUGCAGUCAGAGCAAACUGUCGGAGGAUAUUGCUAAGCUCGCAUUCUGAGCAACCCUAAAAUCAGACGUGGGAUGUAAAAGCUGAUGAGUACAGAUAGGUGAGUCCAGCUCCAGGCUAGCAGCUUUUACUACAGGGCUAGGAAACUCUGGCUGAAAAAAAAAAUAUAAAUGGGAUCAGUUUUGCUCCAGCAAUAUUUCAGGUUUGUCAAAACCUUCUUGGAAGGCCUGUGCAGCAUGGGAGAGACGCGGGGAGCUGUAAAUAACCGGGAGCUUCAAAAAACCCUCCCUGAAGUGACCGAUAAAUAUCUCGGGACAUGACAGGGAUCGCUCACGGAUCCAUCCCGAGCAAAUCCAGCGCCGUGCUGGAGAAAGAAUUACUCUGGGAGGGCUGCUCGGGGCAGCACGGAGCGGUGCCUGGGCAGGAAGCAGCUCCAGCCGCCCUCCUUCUCCUUCGCCCAAGGCUGCCCGAGGACAGCGGCGUCCCCUGUCCCGUCCCAGUGUGUCCCAUCCCAGUGUGCUGCCCGGAGCUCUGGGGAUGCCCAAAGUAAAAGGAACGCAGGGACGGAGCAGGACGCACAGACUACGCAAGCGUAAUGGGGCUGCUCGCGAGGCGCCGUGCGAUUUGUCACAGGCCUCGUUCCCUGAUAACGGGCAUUUGUCAUCACUUUCUUCCCGUGUUAAUGUCAUCAUCGGCGGGCUGACAGGCGGACCCGUGGAGGGAGCGCUGGCGACAGACCACAUCCGUCAACCUAAUAUUUCCAUGGCUGUGGGGAUCAGCCGGGCUGCGCGCACGCAUUAAAGCACUUAUGAGGGGAGAGAGGGAAAAAAAAAAAAAACCCACAACAAAAAAACCCCCCCCCGAACCUCACCAAAAAAACCCCGCCGUUGUCAUUAAUUAAAAUGCGAGCGCGUGGCUGCGUGGGGAGGGGGACGCUGCGGGUGUGGGGCCGUGGCCCUAUAACAGUGUGCGUGGAGGCUCCUGAAACCCAUCUAAAUGGGGUUUGGGGCGGUGAGCACGGUGGGAGGGUUGGUGUUAAUAAGGGGACCCCAUUAAUGAGCCCCCUGCCCCCCCUUAUGGUGGUCCCAAGGCUCAUUUGAGGCACUGGUGUGAUGAAGCAAGCGGCCUCAGCCCUGUAGGAUGGGGGGACGAAGGUGGCACCCCAGUGUCCCCCCCGGCAAAGUGACCACCGAGGGACCUGCCCCAGGCCCCGGGGCUGUUUCGGUGGCCAGGGGUGCCCUGGGCUUUGCCCCCUGAUAUUUGGCUGUUUCCAUGGAAAUGGGGAGGGGUGGGA
ensembl:lncRNA